GCGAAGGUCUACCCGGAAGCGCAAAUAAUAAAUAGAACCAAAAUCUUGUUAAUUUCCCUCUAAAAUCGAACGCAGACGCUCGCAGUUGCGCGAAAGCGCACACAAUACUGCAAACACGAAAUUUGGAUUGAAAACGGGAGAGGGAGCAUUUCGAGAUCCCAAGCUCUGUCCAGUGAUAAAUUUACAUUGCGACAGCGCUAAAUUUCGCCAGCGAUUAAUUAUGAGCUAUUCCUGUAUCAGUUGUCCAGGCUACUUCCACGGUCAUCACCUGAUAUAAUGGCAGAUUACUCCAUAGCCCCAAUCCGAGAAGCUAAAUGAAGGGACUGACUGGAAGGUCUGGCUACAAAAGUGAAUAUACCCCAAAAUUGGAAGGCAAUGAUGUUAUUUACACUAGUUUUUUAUAUGAUUGUUGAUUUUUAGAUAGCCUAUGAUAUUGCGUGAUAUGUGUAGCUCAAAAUUUUCUUUGAUUAUAUCAAUAUAGAAUUGCUUUGAAAUGCCAA